rnacentral:lncRNA from 1 species
UCUGCAGAAACCAGCGAGGAAGCCUGGAUUAGUGAGAGGCCAUCUCUCCUCUAACUCCCAGGGGGAACAGCCCCCAGGGGAGGCCUGGCCUCCCAGUUUGCUCUUGGCCUCAAAUGAUCUUUCCCCACGUGGAAACCACAGACCCCAAGACUUGUGACCUUCCAGAUAUAACACACAAAGCCGGCUCACCAGGGACCCUGUGACUGAGCUCCAUAUUCUAGGGAGAGAGAGUGAGCAGCCCAGCCUGGCCAGGGAUUCGUCCCCUGUCCAGUGGGCAGUUCCACAAGAGCAAUGUGGGGGCCCUCCAUUUCUGCAGAGUUGGGGUGAGAGGCAAUUCUUGCAUUCCAGAGAGGUAAACUACAGAAACAAGGGAGCUACGCGGCCAGGAGGUUGGGCAGAACCAGGAGUGGAGGAUGGGGGCUGCAGAAACCUCCUGAAGCUGGGCUCCAGGUGAGGAGAAGCCCUGCUGGGAGGGCAGGGGAAUCCAGAAUAGACAUCCACACCCAUGAGACAGACAAUUUACUCACAGGUAAUGAAGAGUGGUUUGAACUUUUAUGUUAGACUUUCCCAUGAAGAAAAUCUAUAAUCUGAUAGACAGUGAUAGAGCAAAAAUGUCU